rnacentral:rRNA from 1 species
AGCAGCCGCGGUAAUUCCAGCUCCAAUAGCGUAUAUUAAAGUUGUUGCAGUUAAAAAGCUCGUAGUUGAAUUUCGGGAUCAAUACGUCGGUCGUGCUUCGGUACGUACUGGCGUCAUUGAUUUCUCCCUUCUGACGAACCAUGAUGUCAUUAACUUGGUGUCAUGGGAAAUCAGGACUGUUACUUUGAAAAAAUUAGAGUGUUUAAAGCAGGCUCACGCUUGAAUACAUUAGCAUGGAAUAAUGAAAUAGGACGUUCGAUCCUAUUUUGUUGGUUUUUAGGAUCAACGUAAUGAUUAAUAGGGAUAGUUGGGGGCAUUAGUAUUCAAUUGUCAGAGGUGAAAUUCUUGGAUUUAUUGAAGACUAACUACUGCGAAAGCAUUUGCCAAGGAUGUUUUCAUUAAUCAAGAACGAAAGUUAGGGGAUCGAAGACGAUCAGAUACCGUCGUAGUCUUAACCAUAAACUAUGCCGACUAGGGAUCGGAUGAUGUUAAUUAUUUAAUGACUCAUUCGGCGCCUUACG